AUUGAACGCUGGCGGCAGGCCUAACACAUGCAAGUCGAGCGGAUGAAGGGAGCUUGCUCCUGGAUUCAGCGGCGGACGGGUGAGUAAUGCCUAGGAAUCUGCCUGGUAGUGGGGGAUAACGUCCGGAAACGGGCGCUAAUACCGCAUACGUCCUGAGGGAGAAAGUGGGGGAGCUUCGGACCUCACGCUAUCAGAUGAGCCUAGGUCGGAUUAGCUAGUUGGUGGGGUAAAGGCCUACCAAGGCGACGAUCCGUAACUGGUCUGAGAGGAUGAUCAGUCACACUGGAACUGAGACACGGUCCAGAGUCCUACGGGAGGCAGCAGUGGGGAAUAUUGGACAAUGGGCGAAAGCCUGAUACAGCCAUGCCGCGUGUGUGAAGAAGGUCUUCGGAUUGUAAAGAACUUUAAGUUGGGAGGAAGGGCAGUAAGUUAAUACCUUGCUGUUUUGACGUUACCAACAGAAUAAGCACCGGCUAACUUCGUG
rnacentral:rRNA from 1 species